AGGGAUGGCUGAGCGUGAGGAUGCAGCCAGUGUCCAGGCUGCUCUCCUGGACGCUGAGCAGGGUCCUGUGGCUCUCGGGCCUCUCUGAACCGGGAGCUGCCCGGCAGCCCCAAAUCAUGGAAGAGAAAGCACUAGAGGUUUAUGAUUUGAUUAAACUAUCCGGGACCCAGAAAAGCGCAAUACUUUAGAAGAACUGGAAGUGGUCUCAGAAAGUUGUGUGGAAGUUCAGAAGAUAAAUGAAGAAUAUCUGGUUAUUAUCAGGUUCACGUCAACAGUACCUCAUUGCUCUCUGGCGACUCUUAUUGGGCUGUGCUUAAGAGUAAAGCUUCAGCGAUGUUUACCAUUUAAACAUAAGUUGGAAAUCUACAUUUCUGAAGGAACCCACUCAACAGAAGAAGACAUCAAUACACAGAUAAAUGACAAAGAGCGAGUGGCAGCUGCAAUGGAAAACCCCAACUUACAGGAAAUUGUGGAACAGUGUGUCCUUGAACCUGACUGAUAGCUGUUUUAAGAGCCAUUGGCCUGUAAUUGUUUGAUAUAUUUGUUUAAACUCUUUGUAUAAUGUCAAAGACUCAUGUUUAAUACAUAGGUGAUUUGUACCUCAGAGCAUUUUUUUAAAAGAUUCUUUCCAAGCGAGAUUUAAUUAUAAGGUAGUACCUAAUUUGUUCAAUGUAUAACAUUCUCAGGAUUUGUAACACUUAAAUGAUCAGACAGAAUAAUAUUUUCUAGUUAUUAUAUGUAAGAUGAGUUGCUAUUUUUCUGAUGCUCAUUCUGAUACAACUACUUUUCAUGUCAAAUAUCUACUGUGCCCAAAUGUACUCAAUUCAAAUCAUUACUCUGUAAAAUAAAUAAGCAGAUGAUUCUU